rnacentral:rRNA from 1 species
GGUUAAGCGACUAAGCGUACACGGUGGAUGCCCUGGCAGUCAGAGGCGAUGAAGGACGUGCUAAUCUGCGAAAAGCGCCGGCGAGGUGAUAUGAACCCUUGACCCGGCGAUGUCCGAAUGGGGAAACCCAGUGUGUUCCGACACACUAUCGUUAACUGAAUACAUAGGUUAACGAGGCGAACCGGGGGAACUGAAACAUCUAAGUACCCCGAGGAAAAGAAAUCAACCGAGAUUCCCCCAGUAGCGGCGAGCGAACGGGGAGCAGCCCGGAGUCUGAAUCAGCUUGUGUGUUAGUGGAACGGUCUGGAAAGUCCGACGGUACAGGGUGAUAGUCCCGUACACGAAAAUGCACAUGCUGUGAACUCGAAGAGUAGGGCGGGACACGUGGUAUCCUGUCUGAAUAUGGGGGGACCAUCCUCCAAGGCUAAAUACUCCUGACUGACCGAUAGUGAACCAGUACCGUGAGGGAAAGGCGAAAAGAACCCCGGCGAGGGGAGUGAAAAAGAACCUGAAACCGUGUACGUACAAGCAGUGGGAGCACCUUCGGGUGUGACUGCGUACCUUUUGUAUAAUGGGUCAGCGACUUAUAUUCUGUAGCAAGGUUAACCGUAUAGGGGAGCCGAAGGGAAACCGAGUCUUAACUGGGCGUUAAGUUGCAGGGUAUAGACCCGAAACCCGGUGAUCUAGCCAUGGGCAGGUUGAAGGUUGGGUAACACUAACUGGAGGACCGAACCGACUAAUGUUGAAAAAUUAGCGGAUGACCUGUGGCUGGGGGUGAAAGGCCAAUCAAACCGGGAGAUAGCUGGUUCUCCCCGAAAGCUAUUUAGGUAGCGCCUCGUGAAUUCAUCUUCGGGGGUAGAGCACUGUUUCGGCUAGGGGGCCAUCCCGGCUUACCAACCCGAUGCAAACUACGAAUACCGAAGAAUGUUAUCACGGGAGACACACGGCGGGUGCUAACGUCCGUCGUGAAGAGGGAAACAACCCAGACCGCCAGCUAAGGUCCCAAAGUCAUGGUUAAGUGGGAAACGAUGUGGGAAGGCACAGACAGCCAGGAUGUUGGCUUAGAAGCAGCCAUCAUUUAAAGAAAGCGUAAUAGCUCACUGGUCGAGUCGGCCUGCGCGGAAGAUGUAACGGGGCUAAACCAUGCACCGAAGCUGCGGCAGCGACACUUAUGUGUUGUUGGGUAGGGGAGCGUUCUGUAAGCCGUUGAAGGUGUGCUGUGAGGCAUGCUGGAGGUAUCAGAAGUGCGAAUGCUGACAUAAGUAACGAUAAAGCGGGUGAAAAGCCCGCUCGCCGGAAGACCAAGGGUUCCUGUCCAACGUUAAUCGGGGCAGGGUGAGUCGACCCCUAAGGCGAGGCCGAAAGGCGUAGUCGAUGGGAAACAGGUUAAUAUUCCUGUACUUGGUGUUACUGCGAAGGGGGGACGGAGAAGGCUAUGUCAGCCGGGCGACGGUUGUCCCGGUUUAAGCAUGUAGGCGGAGGUUCCAGGUAAAUCCGGUACCUUAUUAACGCUGAGGUGUGAUGACGAGGCACUACGGUGCUGAAGUGAUAAAUGCCCUGCUUCCAGGAAAAGCCUCUAAGCAUCAGGUAACACGAAAUCGUACCCCAAACCGACACAGGUGGUCAGGUAGAGAAUACCAAGGCGCUUGAGAGAACUCGGGUGAAGGAACUAGGCAAAAUGGUGCCGUAACUUCGGGAGAAGGCACGCUGAUAGGUAGGUGAAGCCCCUGCGGGCGGAGCUGAAAUCAGUCGAAGAUACCAGCUGGCUGCAACUGUUUAUUAAAAACACAGCACUGUGCAAACACGAAAGUGGACGUAUACGGUGUGACGCCUGCCCGGUGCCGGAAGGUUAAUUGAUGGGGUUAGCGGCAACGCGAAGCUCUUGAUCGAAGCCCCGGUAAACGGCGGCCGUAACUAUAACGGUCCUAAGGUAGCGAAAUUCCUUGUCGGGUAAGUUCCGACCUGCACGAAUGGCGUAAUGAUGGCCAGGCUGUCUCCACCCGAGACUCAGUGAAAUUGAACUCGCUGUGAAGAUGCAGUGUACCCGCGGCAAGACGGAAAGACCCCGUGAACCUUUACUAUAGCUUGACACUGAACACUGGUCCUUGAUGUGUAGGAUAGGUGGGAGGCUUUGAAGCGUGGACGCCAGUCUGCGUGGAGCCGCCCUUGAAAUACCACCCUUUAAUGGCUGGUGUUCUAACGUAGACCCGUGAUCCGGGUUGCGGACAGUGUCUGGUGGGUAGUUUGACUGGGGCGGUCUCCUCCCAAAGAGUAACGGAGGAGCACGAAGGUUGGCUAAUCCUGGUCGGACAUCAGGAGGUUAGUGCAAUGGCAUAAGCCAGCUUGACUGCGAGCGUGACGGCGCGAGCAGGUGCGAAAGCAGGUCAUAGUGAUCCGGUGGUUCUGAAUGGAAGGGCCAUCGCUCAACGGAUAAAAGGUACUCCGGGGAUAACAGGCUGAUACCGCCCAAGAGUUCAUAUCGACGGCGGUGUUUGGCACCUCGAUGUCGGCUCAUCACAUCCUGGGGCUGAAGUAGGUCCCAAGGGUAUGGCUGUUCGCCAUUUAAAGUGGUACGCGAGCUGGGUUUAGAACGUCGUGAGACAGUUCGGUCCCUAUCUGCCGUGGGCGCUGGAGAAUUGAGGGGGGCUGCUCCUAGUACGAGAGGACCGGAGUGGACGCAUCACUGGUGUUCGGGUUGUCAUGCCAAUGGCACUGCCCGGUAGCUAAAUGCGGAAGAGAUAAGUGCUGAAAGCAUCUAAGCACGAAACUUGCCCCGAGAUGAGUUCUCCCUGAGACUUUAAGUCUCCUGAAGGAACGUUGAAGACGACGACGUUGAUAGGUCGGGUGUGUAAGCGCAGCGAUGCGUUGAGCUAACCGAUACUAAUGAACCGUGAGGCUUAACCUU